GGCUGAGUAAGCAUCACUGUCACGCGCUGGACUUCAAGCUUUACAUGUUAUAAGUUAUCACAAGUAACUUUUUUCCAAAAAGAAGUCCCCAUAAAACCUGGGGUCCUCUUUUUUUUUGACAGUGCUUACCGGAUGUAUACACUUACCCAUGAUGUCGAUACUGACAAAGGCAGGUUUGCUAACCUUUAUCCCCAUGACAAUUAAAGAGAUACCCAGCGUCAUUUGUUUUUAUUGCUAUAUUUACUUUUCAGCACGGCCCAUCAUACUGAUAAAUAAGUC